rnacentral:rRNA from 1 species
AUUGAACGCUGGCGGCAGGCCUAACACAUGCAAGUCGGGCGAGUGGCGGACGGGUGAGUAAUGUCUGGGAAACUGCCUGAUGGCGGGGGAUAACUACUGGAAACGGUAGCUAAUACCGCAUACCAUCAGAUGACCCCAUAUGGGAUUAGCUAGUAGGUAAGGUAACGGCUCACCUAGGCGACGAUCCCUAGCUGGUCUGAGAGGAUGAGCAGCCACACUGGGACUGAGACACGGUCAAGACUCCUACGGGAGGCAGCAGUGGGGAAUAUUGCACAAUGGGCGCAAGCCUGAUGCAGCCAUGCCGCGUGUAUGAAGAAGGCCUUCGGGUUGUAAAGUACUUUCAGUCGGGAGGCGUUACCGACAGAAGAAGCACCGGCUAACUCCGUGCCAGCAGCCGCGGUAAUAC